AUGGCGGCCGGAAUCCAACAGCAGGACGCAGCCGAGGACAUUGUGAUUGCCGGCGCCGGUCUGGCCGGCCUCGCCGUCGCUCUGGGACUCCACAGGAAGGGCGUUCGGAGCGUGGUGCUAGAGUCGUCGCCGGAGCGCCGCACGUCCGGCUUCGCCUUCUUCACAUGGACCAACGCCUUCCGCGCCCUUGACGCCCUCGGGGUCGGGGACAAGAUGAGGGGCAGACAUCUGCAGCUGCAGGGGUUGCGGGUCAUGACUUCGUCUACGGGUGAAAUUGCGCGAGAAAUGGAUCUCCGGGUGAACGGAAAACUGGGACCCCAUGAAGUCCGGUGCGUGCAGCGUAACGUGCUGCUCCAGGCUCUGGAGGAAGAGCUGCCGCCAGGCACCGUCCGCUACUCCUCCAAGAUCGUCUCCAUCGACGACCAGGACGGCGCCAAGAUCCUCCAUAUCGCCGACGGCUCGACUCUCCGAGCAAAGGUGCUGAUCGGUUGCGACGGGAUCAACUCGGUGGUUGCGAAAUGGCUUGGGCUCGCAAAGCCGUCCGAGUCCGGGCGCACGGCCACGCGGGGAUACGCCAAGUACCCCGAAGGCCACGGCUUCGAGCCCAAGAUCCUGCAGUUCGUCGGCGAAGGCUUCCGCGCCGGCUUGGUGCCCUGGAGCGACACCGACGUCUACUGGUUCUUCACCUGGUCUCCUGCUCCUUCCCCAGACGCCAACGGAAAGGACGACGACGCCGUCGACCGGAGCGCCGCCGCGAUGAAGCAGUUCGUGCUGACCAAAAUGACGGGCGCCAAGGUGAGCCCCGAGGUGCUGGAGGCCGUGGAGAGGAGCGAGAUGAGCGACGUGCUCGCCGCACCGCUGCGGUUCCGCUCCCCGCUCUCGCUCCUGUUCGCCAGCAUCAGCAAGGGGAACGUGUGCGUCGCCGGCGACGCGCUCCACCCGACGACGCCGGACCUGGCGCAGGGCGCGUGCACGGCGCUCGAGGACGGCGUCGUCCUCGCCCGGUGCCUCGGCGACGCCAUCGUAGGUGCCGGCUCCGGGGAGCAGAAGGAGAGGGUCGUGGCUGCCCUGCGCAGGUACGCUGGCAUCCGGCGGUGGAGGAGCGCACAGGUGAUCGCGGUGUCGUACGCGGUGGGGUUCGUGCAGGAGAGCGACCACUCCGUGGUGAGCUUCGUGCGGGACAUGCUGCUGUCCGGGGUGCUCGCCAAGACGCUGCUCAUGAUGCCGGACUACGAUUGCGGCAAGCUCUGA
rnacentral:rRNA from 1 species